CCUACGGGAGGCAGCAGUAGGGAAUAUUGCUCAAUGGGGGAAACCCUGAAGCAGCAACGCCGCGUGGAGGAUGAAGGUUUUCGGAUUGUAAACUCCUUUUGGUAGAGAAGAGAAUGACGGUAUCUAACGAAUAAGCACCGGCUAACUCCGUGCCAGCAGCCGCGGUAAUACGGAGGGUGCAAGCGUUACUCGGAAUCCCUGGGCGUAAAGAGCGCGUAGGCGGGAUAGCAAGUCAGAUGUGAAAUCCUAUGGCUUAACCAUAGAACUGCAUUUGAAACUGUUAUUCUAGAGUAUGGGAGAGGUAGGUGGAAUUCUUGGUGUCGCGGUCAAAUCCGUAGAGAUCACGCGGAAUACUCAUUGCGAAGGCGACCUGCUAGAACAUAACUGACGCUGAUGCGC
rnacentral:rRNA from 1 species